UCUCUCUCUCUCUCUUUCUCUCUUUUUCUUUCAUCUUUUUAAACGUAACUUUCAACAUUUUCCGUCGUUUCUCAUACUAUUGAAUUUUGAUACGUCCGAACGUCGCGACAAUAUUCAACGUUCGUCGUCAUCUUCGUCGUCGUCGUCGUCGUCGUCGUCAUCUUCGUCGUCAUCUUUGUGAGAAGAACGCGAGGAUGUUCAGAAGGUGUUCUCUCUCUCUCUCUCUCUAUCUCUCGGCAGAUAUUUCUUCAUGAUGCAGGAAAACGUCCGUAAUAAAUAAUCGUCCUAAAAACGUGAACAAAGGAGUGAAUCUCGUCGUUCAGAAGAAGGUAAAAAGCAAAAGAGAAAAGAACAGAAAGGAGAGAGAGAGAGAAACAGAGAAAAAGUAAAAAAAGGCUGACUAAAAAGAAAUGACUCGCGGCUUUCUACGAGAUGGAAAGACGGAAGGAAUCGAGAACGACGAUAACACUUUGACGGCUUCGAGGCGUUAUCCAGUUGCUACGACGGCUCUUGCGUUCCAGCAGCAGCACGAGGAAGGAAUAGUUGGAUUCGUCAUAAUCGUCGUCGAUGUGAGAGAGAGAGAAACGUACACGCACAUCUACGCAGCUUCGGGUUCUUUCCGGUUUUUUACGUGUUGCGGUUCGUUU